CCUACGGGUGGCAGCAGUGAGGAAUAUUGGUCAAUGGACGCGAGUCUGAACCAGCCAAGUCGCGUGAAGGAUGACUGCCCUAUGGGUUGUAAACUUCUUUUAUAUGGGAAUAAAAUGUUCCACGUGUGGGUUUUUGUAUGUACCAUAUGAAUCCGGAUCGGCUAACUCCGUGCCAGCAGCCGCGGUAAUACGGAGGAUCCGAGCGUUAUCCGGAUUUAUUGGGUUUAAAGGGAGCGUAGGUGGAUUGUUAAGUCAGUUGUGAAAGUUUGCGGCUCAACCGUAAAAUGGCAGUUGAAACUGGCAGUCUUGAGUACAGUAGAGGUGGGCGGAAUUCGUGGUGUAGCGGUGAAAUGCUUAGAUAUAACGAAGAACUCCGAUUGCGAAGGCAGCUCACUGGACUGCAACUGACACUGAGGCUCGAAAGUGUGGGUAUCAAACAGGAUUAGAUACCCCUGUAGUC
rnacentral:rRNA from 1 species